rnacentral:rRNA from 1 species
GAUGAACGCUGGCGGCGUGCUUAACACAUGCAAGUCGAACGGUGAACACGGAGCUUGCUCUGUGGGAUCAGUGGCGAACGGGUGAGUAACACGUGAGCAACCUGCCCCUGACUCUGGGAUAAGCGCUGGAAACGGCGUCUAAUACUGGAUACGAGUAGCGGCCGCAUGGUCAGUUACUGGAAAGAUUUGUUGGUUGGGGAUGGGCUCGCGGCCUAUCAGCUUGUUGGUGAGGUAAUGGCUCACCAAGGCGUCGACGGGUAGCCGGCUUGAGAAGGUGACGGGCCAAACGGGGAAGGAGACGCGGCCCAGACGCCUACGGGAGGCAGCAGUGGGGAAUAUUGCACAAGGGGCGAAAGCCGGAUGCAGCAACGCCGCGUGAGGGAUGACGGCCUUCGGGUUGUAAACCUCUUUUAGCAGGAAAGAAGCGAAAGUGACGGUACCUGCAGAAAAAGCGCCGGCUAACUACGUGCCAGCAGCCGCCGUAA